UACGUAGGGAGCGAGCGUUGUCCGGAUUUACUGGGUGUAAAGGGUGCGUAGGCGGCCGAGCAAGUCAGUUGUGAAAACUAUGGGCUUAACCCAUAACGUGCAAUUGAAACUGUCCGGCUUGAGUGAAGUAGAGGUAGGCGGAAUUCCCGGUGUAGCGGUGAAAUGCGUAGAGAUCGGGAGGAACACCAGUGGCGAAGGCGGCCUACUGGGCUUUAACUGACGCUGAGGCACGAAAGCAUGGGUAGCAAACAGG
rnacentral:rRNA from 3 species